UACGUAGGGUGCGAGCGUUAAUCGGAAUUACUGGGCGUAAAGCGUGCGCAGGCGGUUCGCCAAGUCAGAUGUGAAAUCCCCGGGCUUAACCUGGGAACUGCAUUUGUGACUGCAUGGCUAGAGUGCGGCAGAGGGGGAUGGAAUUCCGCGUGUAGCAGUGAAAUGCGUAGAUAUGCGGAGGAACACCGAUGGCGAAGGCAAUCCCCUGGGCCUGCACUGACGCUCAUGCACGAAAGCGUGGGGAGCAAACAGG
rnacentral:rRNA from 1 species